rnacentral:rRNA from 1 species
AGAGUUUGAUCCUGGCUCAGAACAAACGCUGGCGGCGUGCCUAAUACAUGCAAGUCGAACGGGGAAAGUAGCAAUAUGAGUACUAGUGGCGCACGGGUGAGUAACGCGUGGAUAAUCUGCCUUGAAGAGGGGGAUAACGAGUCGAAAGAUUCGCUAAUACCGCAUAAGACCACAAGGGCUGAGGCUCAAGGGGUCAAAGG